rnacentral:rRNA from 1 species
GACGAACGCUGGCGGCGUGCCUAAUACAUGCAAGUAGAACGCUGAAGGAGGAGCUUGCUCUUCUGGAUGAGUUGCGAACGGGUGAGUAACGCGUAGGUAACCUGCCUGGUAGCGGGGGAUAACUAUUGGAAACGAUAGCUAAUACCGCAUAAGAGUAGAUGUUGCAUGACAUUUGCUUAAAAGGUGCAAUUGCAUCACUACCAGAUGGACCUGCGUUGUAUUAGCUAGUUGGUGGGGUAACGGCUCACCAAGGCGACGAUACAUAGCCGACCUGUGAGGGUGAUCGGCCACACUGGGACUGAGACACGGCCCAGACUCCUACGGGAGGCAGCAGUAGGGAAUCUUCGGCAAUGGACGGAAGUCUGACCGAGCAACGCCGCGUGAGUGAAGAAGGUUUUCGGAUCGUAAAGCUCUGUUGUAAGAGAAGAACGAGUGUGAGAGUGGAAAGUUCACACUGUGACGGUAUCUUACCAGAAAGGGACGGCUAACUACGUG